GAGUGGAGGUGACUCUCCAUAGACUUAUUAGAAGAUUGAGUUAUGUGCAGAGAAUAGUGUAAGCACAUUCAUGCCAUAUGCAGACCCAAUUCUCUAGGAUUAGAGGAGCGGAGGUGGUACAGCCAUUGCCGGUCCAUCUGCAUUGUAUUAUGUAGAAAAUAAACAUAGGGCUUCGUAUUACAUUAAGAACUUGAUCAAUAUUAGGUAGGGAAAAAUAGAGUAAAUGUGUUUAUAAUAUUUAGUUCUUGCAAUAAAUAUGAGAUAAAUAAAUUAUUGGUCAAGGAAAAUACAAUUAUUGUUAAAUUACAGUGACAUGAAAAAUUAUAGCAAUGACCAAAUUCUAUUUCAUACACCUACAAUUUAUUUACCUUAAGUUUAUUGCAAUGACUAAAUAUUAAAAACAUAUUUACUGUAAUGUUUUCCCAUACCUAAUAUUGAUCAAGUUCUUUUAACUAAUACGAAUCAUAUAUAACAACCAAGCUAUCCAUCAAAUUCUAGCUCAAAAACAUGUAUAAAUAAAAAUCCUCCCUGUUCUCCCUCUUUCUAAAAAAACUCAUUUUUCUCCCUCUCUAAGGCAUAAAAUAAAGUAUAAUAACAAUAAAUGAAGGGAGGAUGAAGUAGCUAACCUUUACAACACUUUGGAUGAGUGAAAUUCCCACGAAAAUGAGGAAAAAAAAUCCGGCAGCAGCUCCCCUAAGGUUGCUUGCUUGCCAUGGAGAGGAGGUUGAAGCUCUCGGUCUCUGGUGGAG
rnacentral:lncRNA from 1 species